CAGAGUUCAUGCCCAUAUAGGGUAGAUCUCCCACCCUUGAAUAUUAUACUUAUGUUGCUUUGGCGAGGUUAGCUGGAUAAAACCUUUUACCCGCCAGAAGACUUUAAUUCUUGUUAUUGUGUCGUCUGAUUACUAUAUAAUAGUUA
rnacentral:misc_RNA from 1 species